rnacentral:rRNA from 1 species
AUUGAACGCUGGCGGCAUGCUUUACACAUGCAAGUCGAACGGUAACAGGCCGCAAGGUGCUGACGAGUGGCGAACGGGUGAGUAAUGCAUCGGAACGUGCCCAGUCGUGGGGGAUAACGCAGCGAAAGCUGCGCUAAUACCGCAUACGAUCUAUGGAUGAAAGCGGGGGACCGUAAGGCCUCGCGCGAUUGGAUGGGCCGAUGUCAGAUUAGGUAGUUGGGGGGGUAAAGGCUCACCAAGCCGACGAUCUGUAGCUGGUCUGAGAGGACGACCAGCCACACUGGGACUGAGACACGGCCCAGACUCCUACGGGAGGCAGCAGUGGGGAAUUUUGGACAAUGGGCGCAAGCCUGAUCCAGCAAUGCCGCGUGCAGGAAGAAGGCCUUCGGGUUGUAAACUGCUUUUGUACGGAACGAAACGGCUCUGGUUAAUACCUGGGGCUAAUGACGGUACCGUAAGAAUAAGCACCGGCUAACUACGUGCCAGCCGCCGCCGUAACAC